UAAAAUUUUAUCAAAAAUUUGAAAAAAAAACAAAAUUUUCUUUUGGCACGUAUUUUAUUAUGCAUGCAUCCGUUGGUUUCGUGGUUUGGUUUCCCAUAAAUUGGGUGGUUUAAACUUUUUUUUCGUAAAUUGCUUACACGAGCUGAUCAAAAAGUUGCUUUCAUGCCAUUUUUGCACGUAUGAGGAAAGCAAAAGUAAAACCAGACUUUUCCAAAACCGGUUUGAAAUAUAAAAUAUGUUUUAGUCGGACUAUGUAUUUGUGGAUUUAGUUCUAAUCUGCUCAUUAUUAGAGCUCAACCUUGGCCUUGACUUGAGUUACACUUUCGCUUGACCGUUACAAUAAAUAAAAUUUACAUCUUAUUACACGUGAGAGAGAUGAGUGACAAUGUAACGAAGAAAAAAAACUCAUUAGCUCCAAUAACUCCUAAUUGUUCGGUCGAAAAGCUAAUUCAAUUCAUGGUCGGGAUUUUUUUGAAGAAGAAGAUUAGAUCAUUAUUAUUACACUUUUCUUCCUCCCUUCCUUGUCAAAAUAUUUUACUCGUGGUUGAAUGGUUUGGUUCCUUCCCGGUUGGAGAGUUUGAAAUUAAUUAAUUAAGUAAUUUGUACAUAUUUUGAAAUUUGGUAAGCUAUUUGUCAUAAAUAAAAGUAGGAAAUGUAAAAAAGAAGUAAAUAAGUUAAUUAGUUAAUUAAUGAUGACUUUAGUACACAGAAAGACAAAAGAAUUUAGCCCGUAGUGGUAAAAAUAUCAAAUUUUGCUUCCUUAUAUGCAUCCAUUUCAGAUUUAGAUAAAUGACGCAUUCUAUAAAUCUAAUUUUUUUAGGGGUGCAAAUCUAGUUAAGACAUAAACCUGGUUGGUCUAAUCAUUAAUAAGGACCUGCGAAUAUGCACAAGUCGAAAUUUUACAAAAAACGUACCUACUUAUUAAUUGCAUUGUUUAAAGAUUGAUGACAUCUUAAUACUUAAAAGAGGACAUUAAAUUCGCAUUAGUCAGUAAUUCA